rnacentral:rRNA from 1 species
AUUGAACGCUGGCGGCAGGCCUAACACAUGCAAGUCGGGCGAGCCGCGGACGGGUGAGUAAUGUAUGGGUAUCUGCCUGAUGGCGGGGGAUCACUACUGGAAACGGUAGCUAAUACCGCAUACCAUCAGAUGAACCCAUAUGGGUUUAGCUAGUUGGUAAGGUAACGGCUUACCUAGGCGACGAUCCCUAGCUGGGCUGGGAGGAUGAUAAGCCAGACUGGGACGGAGAGACGGGCCAGACUCCAACGAGAGGAAGGAGUGGGGAAUGUUGCACAAUGGGAGCAAGGCUAAAACAGCCAUGCCGGGUGUAUGAAGAAGGCCUUCGGGUUGUAAAGUACUUUCAGUCGGGAGGGGUUACCGACAGAAGAAGCACCGGCUAACUCCGUGCCAGCAGCCGCGGUAAUAC